UAAGGAAUAUUGGUCAAUGGAGGGAACUCUGAACCAGCCAUGCCGCGUGCAGGAAGACAGCCCUCUGGGUCGUAAACUGCUUUUAUUCGGGAAUAAACCUUUCUACGUGUAGGAAGCUGAAUGUACCGAAGGAAUAAGGAUCGGCUAACUCCGUGCCAGCAGCCGCGGUAAUACGGAGGAUCCAAGCGUUAUCCGGAUUUAUUGGGUUUAAAGGGUGCGUAGGCGGCUUAUUAAGUCAGGGGUGAAAGACGGUGGCUCAACCAUCGCAGUGCCCUUGAUACUGAUGAGCUUGAAUACACUAGAGGUAGGCGGAAUGUGACAAGUAGCGGUGAAAUGCAUAGAUAUGUCAC
rnacentral:rRNA from 1 species